GUGCUCACUUCAGCAGCACAUAUACUAAAAUUGGAACGAUACACAGAUGAUUAGCAUGGCCCCUGUGCAAGGAUGACAUGCAAAUUCGUGAAGCAUUCCAUAUUAAA
rnacentral:snRNA from 1 species